UAGAUCAAUUUACCUAUUUAUGAGUAGUUGAUUUACCCAUAUUUGAGUAUUGAAAACUUUACUUAUAUUAUGAGUGAAAUAUACUGAGAAAAUCGGUAAAUUUCACCUAUAUUAUUGGUGAAGUGAGUUUACCAAUUUAUGGGUAAGUUAAUUUACUCAUAUUUGGUUGAAAAAUAGGACUUUGUUGUUCUUAUUUCAAGCUCUGAACAUAAUCAUAAAACCGGUCCGGCAGUUCAUGAAGGAAUAAAGAUAUCGAAUUUGCUAUACGCAACGUACGAACCCCAAGCCAGCAGCUGCCAGCAGUUCUUUUAAGCCUCUAACGAUCCUUAUGGAGCCCUCGGAUCCGUGACCCAAUAGAAUGUACCGAAUCAGCAGUCAUCCUCUUCAACAACAACAGUCAAUUACGUUAAAUCAAUCAAUUACUCUGAUCCCUUUUGUCUGCUACCUUCCGGGUCGGAACACGGCUAUGCCCUUUCGCGUAAAAUGUCAAAUAACGAGACAGGUGUCCCUUCAUCGAACCAACAGUGAAAAUACUGUCAUUCUCUUUUAUCGCCGGGAGGCUUGAUUAGUAAUGCACCCGGACGACCUGGAUACGAGACAAGAUACUUUAGGAAUAUGGAACGAUUUCUUCGUUUUUUCCCACCGAGGAAACAAUAUACCAGUAUGAUUACCCCAUCCACCCCAACGAAAUCAGCUUUAAUGAAGAGCGCACAUCUGAUGUGGAAAUCAACUAUACCCGCCGAAUCAGCGACCAUGACACGUACCUCGUCAACAUGAACCGGAUUCGCCAUGGACCAUCACCCACAUUCUGCUGCAAUCUCCAAAACGAGAAAACACUGUUUGGGUUUCAUAACAGGAAAGUGCCACAAUAUGCCACUAGCGGGGGAAUGUACCAAUAUCGUAAAUAUACUGCAUUACACCAACGGAGCCGGGAGUGUCAGACCUGUGAUGAAUCCGGUGACUGCAUACAUUUUUAUAAGGUUCAGCAGUUGCUCAGCUUAUUCCACGCAUAUCGGAAACACCCAAUGAAUGACACGAUGUGGAGUCACGAUUGUAUAUUAGAUAUAUAUUAGAUUAAUUGUAUCUAUCUACAUAUUGGAAUAAUUUAAUAAAUUUAAAUGACCUUGUCUUUUUUUAUUUGAUUUACUUUUAAUUUAAUUACAUUUUUGAAUCCAAUAUUUGAUUCCUAUUCCAUGGAUGUAUGCAUACAAAAGAAUAAAAAAGUACCCAAAUA